GAGAUUAGAGCAGCCGGAAGACCUAAACCUUGUUGAUGAACGGAUGAUGAAUUGGUUGUAGAGGACUCGCGUUUAAAUAGAUAAACUUGUAAUCAUCACGGUGUGGGUUGUCGUCGUUGAUCGUCGUGGGCGGAUGGGAGGUUUUCGCCGAUAGGUAUGGUUUGCUGUGGAAAAUAGCAAUCUGUUUAUGAAAUGUAGGUGUCGACUCGGUUGAACGGUAGGGU
rnacentral:lncRNA from 1 species